CUGGCCAUCCAUGAAGCACGUAUCUUGCGUAAACUUGCUUCCUAAAGGAGGCAAAACGUGAGGCCUGUGCAAUUUCAGGCAUGCCUUCCAAUCCAAGGCUAGUAAAUCAGUCACGUUGGGGAAAUGUACUUGCAAGUUUCAGAUGAAAAGAGGUAGAAAUAUUCCAGCAUCCACUGCAACACCAUGAGGCCUGUGCUAAGUUCAGUCGCGACUGCAUUCGUUUAGGCUGUGCGUGGUGCCUGCCAACAUGUUUGUGCUCUGCGUUGAUGAGUAAAGUACUGCAUUUAACUAGCAGCGUUAACAGGAUCUCAUAUGAACCAUAUGAGGUGCAGACAAGGGCACAUCCAUAUCAUUGUUGGAAAAGAAAUUGCAGUGUGAGAAUUUUAGUUGACUGUCAAAUGAAACAGGUUUUCUGGAAGAGGUGCGAGGGUUAACUUGGGAUUUUGGCUGUCAUAUAUUGACAUCCCACUUCGUGCUAACUCAUCCUCAAGAGUCAGAUUGCAUGGGUAAAGAGAUAGAUUUGCAUGGGUAAAGAGAUAGAUAGCUUAUACCUAUGGAUGAUGAGAAUAGUCCCUCGCAUGGGAAAUAAGAGGCAUAGCAGCCUGUUUGAGGCAGGAUCUCGAUCGGGCAAGAAAACCUCGAUUACUGCUAGCAGGAUACAGAAGUCUGCAGCAGUGGAUCUGACUCCUGAGAGUUUCUGAUUGCAGAGUUCUGCCGCAGAUUUCUCCCAGUGUCAACUUUGAUUCUCUUACUCUUAUGAUUUGGAAAGCAGGAUCAAAAUGCAAACCAUGUUUCCAGUUGACAAAACCAAGUUGCCGCAGGUUUCUCCAGGCGUCUACUUUGGUUGACCUCAAACCAUUAAACAAGCAAGUCACCGUUGCAUUAGAAGACACAUAACCACCUAUUAUCAGCUAUUAGAUUUUUUACAGGGUCACCAGUAGUUCAUGGCAAGGACCAGCAAAGGCAACGCAUGGAAGAUAUAGCAGGAACGGGUAACAUUAUUUAAACCAUACAAGACAACAAUCUAGUUUGGUGAAACAUUUCUUAUUCUGCUCAAAGUUUCAAUUCAGUACACAACUCGAGUUCAUUACAUGACACACAUUUCCAUCAUUUUACUAUAA